rnacentral:lncRNA from 1 species
UAAACAGGUAAACAGGACGCAGCCGAUUGUCAACAACAAUAGUACUCGUUUUAGCUAAUUUAACAAGACAACCAAUAUCAAGGAGCUAUGAAUAGUAAUAAAUACUCGAGGAUAUACUACAGGUAACUCAAACAAAUGAUUUAAUAGUGCAGGAAUAAACAGAAAUCUGCAAUGACUGAAUGUUUUCAUCUUCGAGUUUGGUCUAUAGUGACUUACAUCAAUACAUGUACAAAUGUAGUGUCCGUUCGACAUGAUUCACGUUCGCCCAAGUACCUGUUUGCCCUAGUCCAAAUAAUUAUGACGUCUGGAAAGUCUAUUUUUUUCUUCUUUCUGGGACGCCUUCCUUGCCAGACGUCAUAAUUAUUUGGACUACUGUUUGCCCAUGAUCGAUUCGCCCUGAUUUUUUUUUAUAUGUUGUCUACUUGCAUAAUGUUUAAUAUGAGGAAGGCGCUACCUUUAAUGCCAGCUUUAUAAUGUCCUAGAUAUUGAUUGGUUGUUGGUUGUUUAACGUUCAGUGGCAAAUAUUUCAUGCAUGUUCAGAACGAAUGUCCAAGGCUACAGUAACGUUUUGUUUAUGUCUAAAAUAAAAUUAUAAGUUCAGAUGGAAAAUGCUAUUUUUCUUGAAAAAAAAUAUUCUAUUUCCAAAUUGAUGAAUAAAAAAGCAUAGGACAAAAAAAUAUUUUGAAUCCAGAUCUUUGCCAAAAAUGAUUUUAUCUUUCAGAUAUGCAAAUUAAAUUUAACUUUUAUAUAUCUAAAAACAUAAAAACUUCCCAAACCGCACAUGUCAGUCUGUACACAGUAUUUUUUAGGUGAUAAUAAGACUGUAUUUGCCAAUUUGUUAUGAUAAACCUUAAUACUAGUGUUAAAUUUUGACUAAAUAAUUUUAAAUGAUAGCGCUGAAUGGCUUCGGUAAAAAAAAAAUCUGACUCGAAUAAAAACAUUUGUAUUUCUGAUCAUCUUCAGUUUGUGAGUUCUACAUCAAUAUCUGACAUGUACUAUUAAAUUCAGAGUCAGUUUUAUGUCAUUUCUUGCAUAUAUUUUUUUUGUUACAUGUACAUAAUGUAGCUUACUUUUCAAGUUCUUAUAUGAUAGCAAAAAAAAAUUGAGAAUGGAAAUGGGAAAUACAAGCAUGUUAAAAAAAACACAUUUGGUUUCAGACAAUAACUUGAGUUAAGUAAAUGGAUUUCCAUGAAAUUUUACCAGGAGGUUCAUACACAAAACUCAAAAGGAAGAUAAGAAUUGAUUUUGGGGUUAUAGUACAUUAUUGGGGGUAUUUUUUAUUUUUUUAUUUUGGGUUUUUCUUCCAAAAAUUACCUUAUUUACAUCAAUUAUACUCAUCUAGUACAGAUUUGGCAGGAGAUGCACUCAAAAUAUGGUGUUUUAAACAUUUUAUCUGUAGUCUGUGCAUUUUUCCUAUGAUGUACAUGUACUUCUUGAUAAUGUUGAUGUGAGUAUCAUGAUAAAGAAAAUAUAUUUGGUAACCGUAAGUAUAUAUUCACAAUUGACAUGCACCAGAGCGAGAAAAGGAUCUUCUUUCCCUUUAAUUCCAAAAAUUGCACAUGAUUUUUUUUCUCUCACAGAAACACAUGAGUUAUUUGGUAAAUAAAACAUUUGUCAAUGUUUGAAACUUUCAGUAAUAAAAAUUCAGUUUAGCUUGUUUGAAUGUUUCACUGAUUGUGUGAAAAUUUUAACAGCAAUGUACAAAACACUUGAAUAAAUUGCAUUAUCUGCAGAAUUAUUGAUAACUUUCCUCACAAUAAAUUCACAAGGACAUAGAACUAACACAUUGUCCAUGCUAUUCUGAUCUGAGUUUUAUACAUACAUAUACUGGCAUGGCUGUGCUGUUUCAAGUUGUCUUCUUUUUCUGUUUCCUAAGAAGUAUUUGUUUAACCUGUUCAGUCACUAUAAAGUGUUACAAUUCUUAUUUAGACGCAACACAUAAAUAGUGACCAAAAAGGUUCUGCUUUCACACGAGAGGAGCUAGAAAAAAAAUUAAAUGUACACAUUUUCAAUAGUUAGUAGGACUUACUAUCAUAUGGAAUUAAGGAGAUAUGUACAUGUAGUUCGAGACUUCUGCUGAAUAGAAAUAUGUGGGUCUACCUGUGCCUGUUUUCAAAUUAGUCCAUAUUGAAGUUUAAAGGAUCCAAAAUUAAAAAUAUGUUUGAUUUCAACUGACAUAAAAAAAAAAUGGUGUUAUUUAUAUGCUCAAUAUACAUCUGCGGUCGUAUCAGGCUGUGCAUGGCAAAGCAUUUUAUUGCCUUUAGGUUUGUACUUUUUUUUUUUGGUCAUGAAAAUAAAUUUGCUAACAUGAGAAUACCCUAAUUUUACCUAAAUUGUCAGUUUUUUUUACCAAACUUUUUUUUAUGUACCAGACAAAAGUUUAUUCUGUGCUUAUUUUGUAGACUUCCCUUGUUUACAAUAGAGUUAUACCAAUUUAAUUUUGAGUCCAUGUAGAGUCAUUGAAAAAUUAGUUUGAAAUAACAUCCAAACAAUCCAUGAUCCUGUAAUGAGACCAGUACCCAAAUUCCAUACAUCUUUACAUGUAUGGUUAAUUUCAAAUCCUUUAAACUGGGAUAUAAAAAGAGAUUUUGUUUUAUUUCAUGCUGUAACUAUUAUUUUUGGAAAGAAAAGGAUGUUCAUGGUAACACAUUUAAUUUGCUCAUUUUAUUGGAACCCAAUUGAACCUUUCCAUAGAUUCACCUGAUAGUUACCUGUCCAUUUAAACUUUUUGCAGUUCUAUUGUCCCAUUGAACAAAUACAACAGGUAUUGUUCUCUGUAUAGUUUAUAGUCACUCAGACCUUUAAAUUUCUUCUAAGAGAAAUCUAUCACUUAUUAAUUAAUGUACCAGAGUAAAAAGAUGAUAAUAAGAUAAUUUCACAUGGUGAAACAAAACUUGUAAGUUUUUUGCAGGUAUUUUUUGUUGAAUAGGUGCAAUUUGGUUACUGAGUACAAUUUUUGUACUGUGAUGUUAUAUCAUAAGUGUGUAUUGCUAAAUAGGUUGAAAUGUGAACCUGAUAGUGAUAUAGUAGUGAUAAAGUACUUGGUAGAGUGAAAAUGUUUUGAUCAGGGAUAAACUGAUGCAUAAAAUAUGCAGGCGACUGCUGCAGCUUGAAUUUUAAAGGAUGUAGCCCACAUUCUUCCAAGUAACAUGCCCUGUAUAUACACAUCAUGGUUUAUUCUCAUGGGUUAUCAUAAUAACUCCAUCUUCCCAUAAAAUCCAAUUUUGGACAAUAUUGAAGCAUACAAUAUAUACAGUAGUCAGUUCUAAAUGUACUACUCAGACUCAAGUCUCCUUUUAUGAUUCAACUUAGAGAGAGAAAACAAAACAGUUUCCAUUUCCUGGGACUGUAUAAGGUGUGACAUAAUCAAUGAAAAGAUGUCUUGAGAGUUUGCCAUUUAGAAAGUACAGAAUAAGAAGAUUGUGAAUUAUUUGAAUGUUUUAACUUUUGUUAAGUUUUGAAUUAGUCUGUGGACUACCAAAGGAUCCAGAGGGAGACCCUUUUCUUGGGGGAAAAAAUGAUGAUUAUAUAGGGAAUAACUGAAGCAUGACUGGAGCGCCCCGUCAGCCCCCCCCCCCCUUUUUAUGAAAAAUGCUGGAUUCGCCAUUGACUACAUGAAUAACCGUGAUCACAUUCAACUGUAUAAUUAUCACUGUUCCUUGGUGUGGGGAAUAAUGAUAUGUGGCAGAUGAACAUAAGGAGUCAUGGUCAACCAGUGCACCGGAGUUUACCCCGCAUGUCCGACAUGGUCAAUUUGUAAAAAAAAUGCGAAAUAUUGCUUGCAGAGUUUUUUUUCUGUGUUCCCAUGGCUGGACGGAACUUUUACGCUAAAUAUGUUAUCGUUAACUAUGAUUUUGUGACUUUUGAAUGAAGUACCUGUGAUUAUUUAGGACAUUUGCUUUGACCUCACUGAUAAUGGAAUGUUGAAGCAGACGAAACAUGGCGUCGGAUGUUGUUGUCAUAACUUCGGUAAUUUCCGUGGUACAAUAAAAUUUAAAUAAGCUACACAAGUAGCCAACAUUUCUGAAUUCUUGUUUUUGCAAACAAAUAAAAAUUCAUGUCGUAUUUAACAUCGAAUUUGUUCCGUUCUGCCUGUUUUUACAAGAUCGCGAUUGAACGAGAAUUUUGGCAGCCAUUAAUAAAAAAUAAUCGUACGAGAUUUAACGAGAGUGACGAAACUUUUCAGAUGGGUCGUCUAGCAAGAGUUAUCGUUCUUUGUCCCAAAACGAUGCUUCUACCAUAAGUGCCAGCAUAGCUGGCAUAUUAUUUGAACAGAGUAUGGCAAAGAAUGUUGAAAAAUUCGGCGAAUAUGUGUAUUGCUGCAAACAAAAAAUUAUUUUCCCUUUAAUUUUGUUUAAGUACUUUAAACUGUCAUACAAGUGAGAGGUUUAGCUAGCUAUAAAACCAGGUUCAAUCCACCAUUUUCUACAUUUGAAAAUGCCUGUACCAAGUCAGGAAUAUGACAGUUCUUGUCCAUUCGUUUUUGAUGCGUUUUGUUAUUUGAUUUUGCCAUGUGAUUAUGGACUUUCCGAAUUGAUUUUCCUCUGAGUUCAGUAUUUUUGUGAUUUUACUUUUUAAUAUCUUUAUUGAUAUUUGUUUACUGUUACAAUUCAUGCAGUAUUAUAACAGAGACAUAUAUAAUAAAUAAACUGUCUGUUUUUUGUCUCUUUGACAUCAUUCCACAUUUCUAUUCUCAAUUUUAUCAAAAUACUUUUCAUGUUUUACAAUUCGUAUACAUUGUAUGUACAAAAAAUGUACAUCAUUGUUUUUACUCAUUUUUGACUAGUUUAUCAAAACAAAACGUAAUUUACGGUCUCACUAAUUAGCGACAAGAAGAAUAUUUGUUUACGAUUCAAACCGAUACUACAUUGUACAUGUUGUACUACAUGUAUCUUAUCUAUGAUUAACUCAAGUCAUAUAGAUAACAAAACACGUGCAGUUUAAUAUCACAUACAUUUGUACAUGACACAGGACAAUCACUGACAAGUUUCAAGACUUAGUUGCUAGCAGUAACUGAAAUCCAGCACAAAUACCUAAUCUGGCGUACACUCUUAUUCUGCAGGUGGCUUUUUACAUUAGAUACCAUUUAACGUCAUAUCAUAAGGAAAACAAUUGUGUUGAUUUCUCUUAAUCAAACAUACUUGGAUAACAAUUUAUAGAAAACUACCACAAGGGCCAGGGGAUUUUCAGUUUAUAGGGGAGGGAAAUGUUCCCAUACAUUUUUGUAAGUCUUGAACUGGCAAAAUGGUAUGAAUCAAUAACCAUGAUAACUACAACAAGAUGAUACAAUAUAAAAAAGAUGUGGAAUUGAUUGUCAAUGAGACAACUCUCCAUGGCCACAAGACACCAAAUGACACAGAAAUUAACAGCUUAAGAUCACUGUACAGCCUUCAACAAUAAGCAAAGCCAAUAUCACAUACUCAGCUACAUUUACAUGUAUGGGAGGCAGGGUUGGCAAAGUAUAACCCACCCGGGUUUUACUGGGGCGGGAAAACCCGGGUAUUCGAAUUUCCCGGCUGGGCAAUACUCCCAAAAAUGGGCAAUACUGGGCAAUAUGAUUUUUCAAGCUUUUUCAACAAUAAAUAGUAAGACUUGUUGUAGUUUCAUAGUAUUAUAGCUAAAUAUAUACAUUUUAUACAGAUAACCAUUGAGAGUCAUUUAAAAAAUUCAAUAUCAUUCUCUUCUCUACUUAACUUUCAUGUAGGCAAAACACAAGACUUACACAUUUUAGGAUUCUUUGUUAAUUCCCAAGCAUUGUUUCAAUAAUCUAAACAUUUUAUUGCAGUGUUUAUGUGGAUUGUAAAUUAAAUUGCUAUACAUGUAUAUGCAAUCAUGAUUGCUAAAUAAACACCCUACAGGGUCUUGUCAUUAACUCUUAUAGAAAUGAAAAGGCUGAUUAUUGUUAUAUAAACAUAUCUUUGUUCUUAUCUGAAAAAUUACUUGUCUUAUUAAUUAGUUAUGUACAUUUGUACAUAUAAAUUAUUUCAGAGUAAUUUUUAUUACAUGUAAUUGGUCAAUUCUUUAUAUUAGCUAUAUAGUUGAAAACAAAAAUCUCAGAGUUGUUAGAAUAAUUCUUUCUCAAAUGUAUAGUAUACACUUGUACAUGUAUGUCUUAUAGGACUCUCAAACAAGUAAACGUACAUGUAGUUAUAAAUAAAAAUAGGUUUUAUUUUAUAUAUAUCUUAAAUGUAUUGCAUUUGUGUUUUAUAAAUGAAUCCUCUUUAAAAUUCAGGCCAGUAUUCUAUAUUACCAAGUAUUGCCCAGUAUUACCCAGUAAAACCCGGGUUUUCCCAGUAUUUCCCACUGGGCUGGGCAAUACUCAUAAAACCUGGGUUUUUUCCAACCCUGAAUUGGGAGGUCCCAAAAAUCACAAAUGUACAUGUAAAAAAUUAAAACAAGAAAACUAAUGGCUGAAUUAAUAAACAAAAAAAUGAACAAAAAACAAAUAUCAUUAUGUAACAAACAAAGCAACAAAGAAGAACCACUGAAUUACAGGCUCCUGACCUGGGACUGGCACAUACAUUUUGUACAUAUACAGAAAGUGGGAGGGGGGAGGGUUAAACAUCAUUGGCGAACCCUCACUCUUAUUAUAGAUAUUUUUAUUUUAGAUUAUGACAAGCAGUAACAAGUUUACAAAUGAAGCUCUAAAUACUCUGUUCAGAAUAAAUAACUUCAGAUGUUUUAUUUUUGCAGAGCUAUGUACUAAGUUCAUGCAAAUAAUCAGUUUAUUUCUUUUUUUUGGGGUUACAUGUAUAUAUGCUUGAAGAUAUUGAUCUGAUUAUUAUGAUUAUCAUGAUUAUUGUAUAAUUUUUCCAUGACAAGUUGCAUAUCAAGUGUAACAUUUGUUUCAGUUCAGACUAUUUUAUUUUAGCAGAAACUGAUCUGGAAUUAUGGUCCAAAACAAGCAUUUUUCAUGUUUCAUGGCAAUAAAUUGUGUAUGUACAUGUGUAGGAUCUCUAUAAAAUUGUACCACUUUGUACAUGUAGCAUUGUAAGUUCCAUACCUCAAAAGGAAGAUUUGGAUUACUUUUUGGGGUAAUGGACUAAACCUUUUUAUAAUUAUGGGUAAAAAACAAGGAUUUCUGGUAUCCAAACAUUAAACCCUUGAAUAAUAUACAUGUACAUUGUGCAUCAUUUGUAUAUGUUCAUACAUCUGAACGAAUAUAUAGAUAUAAGAAGAUAUCGUAUUAUUUCCCUUCACCCAAGAUUAAAUGACAUAGAGGUUAACAUAUUAUAAAACUACAGGUCACAGUACAUCCUUCAACAAUGAGCAAAUCCCAUACAGUGCACCUUUCUAUGGAUCUCUAUGAAAUUGAGCCUCAAGGUUCGAUACCAAAGUGGUAAAAAUAUAAGAUCAAAGGGGUUUAUUAUUGAAGUGUAAGGGAGAAUUGUAUAAAAAUCAAUUUCAAAUGGUAACAAUUUGAAAACUAAUUUAAUAAUGACAAAAAGGGGGAGGGUCUUCAGUUACUAUUGUAAGACUACAAUCAUGACAAUGAAUGGGAUGACCUGCUUUUAGUUAUUGUGCCAAAUUUAAUCAAACUUUGCCUCAAUCAUUUAAAGGGUAUCUAAUGCUAUUAAUUGUGAUUUUUAAAACAGUGAAGACAGGUGAGCGACACAGGCUCGACACAGGCUCAUGAUCAUGAUAUUUGAUACAUGUAGAUAAUUAGUAGUGUGACCACUGUACAAUUCCAAGUCUAAUACAAAUAGAAAGAAAUUCAUGGAUAUUAUAAGCUAAUUGUUUGCAAAACUCUUUGAAUAGUAUUGUGUCCACAUGCUAAAUACUGUUUUCUCCCUUUCAGCAAUAUAACAAGGAAUGGACAGAGGAGUUGACUAUGGAUAAUGACUGAUACUGGAAUAAAGGAACCUAUAUGCAGUGUCAAAUGAUUCCAUGCCUGACAGUCCAUUUUUAUAUGUACAUAAAAUGUAUGUUGACAGCCAAUGGUAAGUAUUAAUCUUCAUCAUACAUGUACAAAUGUAUAUACAAUGAUUGUAUGUGCAUCUCUGACACUUACAUUUUGCUGUUGUGUGGCUUCAUUUCUGACCAGAGACUGAUAAUAAUUAGAUUAUCCUUUAUUUUAUCUUCAAAUAUUAUGUACUACACACCUACUUUUGCAUAGGUACUAUAUCUGUACUAAAAUAUGUAGUACUGGAAAUUUACUUUAAUUAGUAUUUAUGCAAAAGUAGCUGUGUAGUAACUACAUAGAUGUACUUAAUGACUUGCAUUCAUUUAACUUGCAAUAAUUAUGAUGCAGCAUCCAACAAAAAGUGAGCUUUUCUCAUCACUUGGCGUCCGUCGUCUGUAAACUUUUACAAAAAUCUUCUCCUCUGAAACUACUGGGCCAAAUUUAACCAAACUUGACCACAAUUAUCAUUGGGGUAUCUAGUUUAAAAAAUGUGUCCAAUGACCCAGCCAACCAACCAAGAUGGCCACCAUGGCUAAAAAUAGAACAUGGGGGUAAAAUGUAGAUUUUGGCUGAUAUCUCUGAAUCCAAAGCCUUUAGAGCAAAUCUGACAUGAGGUAAGUUUGUUUAUAAGGUUAAGAUCUAUCUGCCCUGAAAUUUUCAGAUGAAUCGGACAACUGGUUGUUUGGUUGCUGCCCCUAAAUUGGUAAUUUUGAGGAAAUUUUGCCAUUUUUGGUUAUUAUUUUGAAUAUUAUUAUAUAGUGAUAAACUGUAAACAGCAAUAAUGUUCAGCAAAGUAAGAUAUACAAAUAAGUCAACAUGACAAAAAUGACCAUCAAUUGACUCCUUAAGGAGUUAUUGCCCUUUAUAGUCAAUUUUUAACAAUUUACAUUAAUUUGGUAAACUUGUGUAAAUUUUUUAAAAAUAUUUUCCUCUGUAACUAAACAUUGCUAAGAGCCAAGUUUAUUAUGAAUAGAGAAAAUUGUAAGUAGCAAGAAUGUUCAGUAAAGUACAUGUAAGAUCUACAAACACAUUACAAUCACCAAAACACAAUUUUGUCAUCAAUCCAUCUGUGUCCUUUGUUUAAUAUGCACAUAGACCAAGGUGAGCGACACAGGCUCUUAAGAGCCUCUAGUUACCUUGUAUGCUGACUAUUAAGGGCUUUGCACAUUUGUGAAGGCUGUACGGUGACCUAUAGUUGUUAAUGUCUGUGUCAUUUUGGUCUCUUGUGGACAGUUGUCUCAUUGGCAAUCAUACCACAUCUUCUUUUUUAUACUUAAUGAUGAUUGUGUACAUGUACAUGUAUAUCUAUGAAUUCUGUCAGAUUGUGGUAUUAAAAAAGUUUUGAGUGUUUAGCACAUAUAUAUAGAAUGUCAUUGGAGUUUAGAUUAAUUUGAUUUCUGAUAAUGGCAGAGUGUUUUGAAUAUUAAUGACAUUACUUCAUAGUGCUGAUCAGAUUACCUUUAAUUGAUUACAGGUAUAUACAAUGUACAUGUACAUGUUCACUGCUACUUUUGCAGGUACUAUUUCUGUUCUAAAAAAUUAUAGUACUGGACAUUCUGUACAUGUAUUUUACAGUACUUGUCUAUUUCAAAUUUCUUAAAGUAAUGAUUUUCCAACAUGGAAUAUUGUGAUCACUGUGGGUAUUAUUUCUAUACCAAAUUUUAUUAUUUCUAUACCAAUUAUUUUAGUACAAAAAUACAGUACCUAAAAUUACAAUAAUUUUAAAGUUACAAAAUAGUACUGAAUAUUAAAAGUGGAUUUCCAGUAAUACAUAUUUUUGGUACAGUCUCAGAAAUAGUACCUAGCAGUCUAUGCAAAAGUAGAGGUGUACAUUUUUUAUGCCCACUUCCUACGAUAGUAGAGGGGCAUUAUGUUUUUCUGGUUAUCUGUGCUCCGUUCGUCCGUCCGUCUGUGGUUUUCCGUUCGUCCGUCCAGGUUAAAGUUUUUGGUCAAGUGUAGUUUUGAUGAAGCUGAAAGUCCAAAUCAACUUGAAACUUAGUACACUUGUUGCUUAUAGAUGAUCUUCUAAUUUUUAAGCCAAUUAGACUUUUGACCCCAAUUCACGGUCCACUGAACAUAGAAAAUGAAAGUGGGAGUUUCAGGUUAAAGUUUUGGUCAAGUAGUUUUUGAUGAAGCUGAAGUCCAAUCAACUUGAAACUUAGUACCUUGUUGCUUAUGAUAUAUCUUUCUAAUUUUAAUGUUAGAUAAUUACCCAAUUUCACGCUCCAUGGAUGGAUAGUGCGAGUGCAUCCGUGUAUUUUUGUAUAUGAAUAGAAUUUAAUUGUUGAAGAUUGAAAAUUUUUAGUAAAUUAAAAAUAAGGAGAUGUGGUAGGAUUGCCAAUAAUUAUAUAAGAAAAUGAUCAUGAUCAGCCACGUUCAACAUGAAGGGGAUGCACGCACUUUUAGGCCACUUUUAUUAUGACCUUCAACAAUGAACAGAACAAUACAGCUGUUAAUGAUCCUGACAAAAUGUGCAACAGUUCAAUCUAGAAAACGAGUACUAGUCAUUUUGCUAGUGAUGUUCACUUAUUGGUUGUAAAAAAAAAUCAAUUGUUUUCUCUGUUAACGUUGCAGUCUGUGCCAAACUGACUAGGGUUUGUCUGACCGAAAGAGAAAUUUGAUUUUUUUUUCUCUAUUAUGUCUGUAUGUCAACCAAAAAAUCUAAAAAUUUCUGUGAGUGUCUGACCUAAUUAUCCGAUUCACUGCUCUUGGCAAAUAUUUUUUUACAACAGUUGGUUGUGUGAAUUUGACAUAUAUCUAAGGUAAAUGAAUUUUCAGUUGUAUUCCUAUUUUUUUAUUUGGAAAACAUUUAUCAGGUUCAGGGCUUAUAUAUUUAUAAUAAUUAAUCAUGUUAAUGGAAUUUAAAUUUUCAGAAUUACAUAUUUGUAGCUCCCAAGAUGUAAGUGGAAGUGAAGCUAUACAAUUAAAUGAAUGAAUUGAUUAGAUAUACAUGUAGAGAAGACCCUAGAUCAACAGUACAUGUAACUUAAACUGGUAUGUAUUUGUUACAGUAUUUGUAGUCAAAAUGGUAUAUAACAAAGAUGCAGAAUCCUGUCAUGCCUGUGCAAAUUUAAAAAGGAGUCGACACAAACUGACAAAAUAAAAAAAAUACUAUCAAUCAACAGAUCAAUGGUAAAAGUUAAUCUGCUAUAUACAUGUAUGGAAUAGGCAUUUAGUUACCAUUUUUCAGUCCAUAUAAAUUUAUGAGAAUAUAAUUUUAUUAUCUGUAUUUCCUAGGAUUUCAAUUCUUAUUUCAUAUUGAUAUUCCCAUGUAUUAUGCUUGUUGUUUGAGGAAAAUUAUCAAAAGAGCUUGACCAAGAUUAAACAAUUACUGGUAUCAUGAAUCAUGCCAUUUUUGUCUUGUCUGCAACUGAUUGUAUAGUGUACAUGUCUGUCUGGGCAGGGUUCAUCUUACCAUGACCUGAUAUUCAUGGUUCAUUGGUCAAUAAUAAGUUUCAUAUUUUGGUCUGUUUGUUGUAUACUAUAUACAAGCUAUAAUUAAUUAAGAGAUCAACUAUAUUUGGUGUAGGUAAUGAUUGCAAGGUGCACAUGUCUGUCUGGCUUGGUUUUUCUGACCUUGAACUUGGUAUUAUUUGCUUGACAGUAUUUGUUUUAUGGGUCAUGAUUGGUUAUGUUAACUGGGUAAAUAAUAAUCACCAUCAAAUCACCAAUUGAUCAUGUCAAAGCUUAAAAUACAAUACAGUUAUCUCCUUUUAUAAGUUUGAUAAAUCAUUGGAGAUUAAACAUGUUAAAUUGAUGUAAUCUUUUUUUGCUUGACUACAAAUACAAACAUGCUGAUUUUGUUAUAUUACAGGAACUGUAGGAAGUAUUCCAAGAGUCUGAUUGCUAAGUAUGCAUUACAGGAUUUUAUUAUUGGAGCAACAUCUUAGGAGGAUAAGUGCAAAUGUAUGAAGGAAUCCUUGGGAACAAAAAGCAAUUAUAUGCAGAAGAGGAGUCUUAAACAUUAUUAACAGAGUCAAAGUAGUGGUGUAUUCAAGAAGUGUAAACCAACUGGAAUUAACUAUUGUGUAUAUUUUUUCAACCUCAAGUACUUUCAGAAUUAUAAUACAAUUCAAAUUAUUGUGUCAACAUACAUGUUACAGUAAAAAAUGAAAAUGUUUUAAAAUGAAUUUUAUAUAAAAAAAUGAAAUAACAAAUUUUUUUAGCUUAUUGUGCAGCCAAGCUUUGAGAUCAACAUUAUGCAUUAACGUUAAGAUCAGGGUUAAAAUGAGAAAAACAAACUAUUUUUGCAUAUAUAUGAAAUAAGAAGUAAAUGAUUGUAAAUUACAGAGAGACUUUCAAUAUGGUACAUUUGUAUAUCAGCUAUAUUUCACAGAACUUUCUAUUUUAGUUUAUUAGUACAAUAGAUAUGAGGUAAACAUCAAUCAGACAGCAAUGAAUACUACAACAAAAACACCUGAAGGCAUUUAGGUUCUAACAUGCAGUCCUCAACAAAAGACCGGUGUCUUAAAGAUAUGCCACGAUCUAUGAAUCGAGAAUAGCCAUCAACAUCAAAUUCUUUGAAUAUUUGCUUUUAGUUAAGAUGAAAUUUAAUACAACCACUGAAACGCUUUCUGGCUUUAAAUGGGUACAUGCAUAUGUUGCGAGGUGAACUGUUUUUUCUUCUUUAAAACCUUCUUAAAAAGAAUUGGCAUCUUGUGCAGGUACUUUUCCAUAUUAUGUGAUUGGUUUGUAUCAAAACUGAUGACCACACAAUAUGACUUAUUCAUACAUACAUAAUAAAAAUCAACUGAAAUGAAAUAUACAUCAGUGCAAACAUCUCCUAUAAAGUCCAUAAAUCAUUUACAAAUAAGGAUUGAGACUCCAACACAACCAAAAUAGUUCUAGGAGUGAACUAAGGUGCCCUGGAUAUUAUUUAUAACCUGUGAUGAUUUUAUUGCUUUCUUCGUUUAGAACCAAAAACAUUUGGAAACAAAGAAAGUAGAAAUAGGAUGGAAGUAUGAAC